AAGCACAAGGUUGCCACUCCCUAU
rnacentral:siRNA from 1 species